CGCGUAGGCGGCCCAUUAAGUCAGAUGUGAAAUCCCGGGGCUUAACCCCGGAAGUGCAUUUGAAACUAUUGGGCUUGAGUAUGGGAGAGGGAAGUGGAAUUCCUGGUGUAGAGGUGAAAUUCGUAGAUACCAGGAGGAACAUCGGUGGCGAAGGCGACUUCCUGGACCAAUACUGACGCUGAGGCGCGAAGGCGUGGGGAGCAAACA
rnacentral:rRNA from 1 species